GCCGGUGUAGCCCAAUUGGCAGAGGCAGCAGUUUUAGGUACUGCGUGUUGGGGGUUCGAGUCCCUCCACCGGCA
rnacentral:tRNA from 1 species